GGGAGCGGAGUGAAAUAGUACCUGAAACCGUGUGCCUACAAGCCGUGGGAGCGUCGGAUACGUGCUUGCACGUAUCUCGUGACUGCGUGCCUUUUGAAGAAUGAGCCUGCGAGUUUGCGGUGUGUUGCGAGGUUAACCCGUGUGGGGAAGCCGUAGCGAAAGCGAGUCCGAAUAGGGCGUUUCAGUAGCACGCUCAAGACCCGAAGCGGAGUGAUCUAGCCAUGGGCAGGUUGAAGCGGAGGUAAGACUUCGUGGAGGACCGAACCCACCAGGGUUGAAAACCCGGGGGAUGACCUGUGGUUAGGGGUGAACGGCCAAUCACACUCCGUGAUAGCUGGUUCUCCCCGAAAUGCAUUUAGGUGCAGCGUCGUGUGUUUCUUGCCGGAGGUAGAGUACUGGAUAGGCGAUGGGCCCUACCGGGUUACUGACCUUAGCCAACCUCCGAAUGCCGGUAAGUGAGAGCGCGGCAGUGAGACUGUGGGGGAUAAGCUCCAUGGUCGAGAGGGAAACAGCCCAGAGCAUCGACUAAGGCCCCUAAGCGUACGCUAAGUGGGAAAGGAUGUGGAGUCGCACAGACAACCAGGAGGUUGGCUUAGAAGCAGCCACCCUUGAAAGAGUGCGUAAUAGCUCACUGGUCUAGUGAUUCCGCGCCGACAAUGUAGCGGGGCUCAAGCGUACCGCCGAAGUCGUGUCAUUCACACAAUAGGGCCAACGCCUGUGUGGAUGGGUAGGGGAGCGUCGUGUGCCGGGUGAAGCAGCCGCGGUAGCGAGUUGGGGACGGUUCACGAGUGAGAAUGCAGGCAUGAGUAGCGAUGCAAACGUGAGAAACGUUUGCGCCGAUUGACUAAGGGUUCCUGGGUCAAGCUGGUCUGUCCAGGGUAAGUCGGGACCUAAGGCGAGGCCGACAGGCGUAGUCGAUGGAUAACCGGUUGAUAUUCCGGUACCCGCUGUGAAGCGUCAAACAUCGAGCAUCGUGAUGCUAAGGCCGUGAAGCCGUUCCGGACCCUUCGGGGAAAGGAAAGUGGUGGAGCCGCCGAACCAAGCGGUUAGUAGGUGAGUGAUGGGGUGACGCAGGAAGGUAGUCCAUCCCGGGCGGUGGUUGUCCCGGGGUAAGGGUGUAGGACGUCAGGUAGGUAAAUCCGCCUGGCAAUAGUCUGAGACCUGAUGCCGAGCCGAUUGUGGUGAAGUGGAUGAUCCUAUGCUGUCGAGAAAAGCCUCUAGCGAGUUUCAUGGCGGCCCGUACCCUAAACCGACUCAGGUGGUCAGGUAGAGAAUACCGAGGCGUUCGGGUGAACUAUGGUUAAGGAACUCGGCAAAAUGCCCCCGUAACUUCGGGAGAAGGGGGGCCACGCUUGGUGAUCCGGUUUACACGGUGAGCUGGGGGUGGCCGCAGAGACCAGUGAGAAGCGACUGUUUACUAAAAACACAGGUCCGUGCGCAGCCGUAAGGCGAUGUAUACGGACUGACGCCUGCCCGGCGCUGGAACGUGAAGGGGACCGGUUAGCUCUGAUUCGUCAGGGCGAAGCUGAGAACUUAAGCGCCAGUAAACGGCGGUGGUAACUAUAACCAUCCUAAGGUAGCGAAAUUCCUUGUCGGGUAAGUUCCGACCUGCACGAAUGGCGUAACGACUUCUCGACUGUCUCAACCAUAGGCCCGGUGAAAUUGCACUACGAGUAAAGAUGCUCGUUUCGCGCAGCAGGACGGAAAG
rnacentral:rRNA from 1 species